rnacentral:piRNA from 1 species
UAUUGUUAGAAAUACCCAGGAGUCUAGGU